CCUACGGGAGGCAGCAGUAAGGAAUCUUCCACAAUGGACGAAAGUCUGAUGGAGCAACGCCGCGUGCAGGAUGAAGGCUUUCGGGUCGUAAACUGCUUUUAUAUGGGAAGAUUGUGACGGUACCAUAUGAAUAAGGACCGGCUAACUACGUGCCAGCAGCCGCGGUAAUACGUAGGGUCCAAGCGAUAUCCGGAAUUACUGGGCGUAAAGCGUGUGUAGGUGGAUUAAUAAGUGUGAUGCGAAAUCCGGCGGCUCAACCGUUUGGACUGUGUCGCAUACUGUUAGUCUAGAGGACGGCAGAGGUAAGUGGAAUUACGGGUGUAGCAGUGAAAUGCGUAGAUAUCCGUAGGAACACCAAUGGCGAAGGCAGCUUACUGGGCCACACCUGACACUGAGACACGAAAGCGUGGGGAGCGAACAGGAUUAGAUACCCUGGUAGUCCACGCCGUAAACGAUGCAUACUAUUAGUAUGGGGUAUCGACCCCCUGUGCUGAGAAGCUAACGCGAUAAGUAUGCCGCCGCGGGAGGUACGAGCGCGAGAACGUUAAACGUAACUUAAUUAGUAAGUUAGUUACGGCGUUGAGACGNGCCGACGGACGACGACGAGGGAGGAGG
rnacentral:rRNA from 1 species